UCCAUAGGAUUUGGGCGAGAUUGAGUGCGGCGUCGCCGUCGCACGAAGAUGGCGCGCAACCGCUUCCGUUCCUGCUCGUUCCCGCCUCCGCUCUUGCGUGCUCCCGGCUCUACUUUUCCUCGCGCAAGCGCGCUCCCGCGCGACGCCGUGCCCGCGUCCGAUUUCCCGCGCGCGCUCCUGCUUUCGAUUUCCUCUCGCACAGAUGGCGCGCUCGCCCUUCCCUCUCUCGCGCCUGUCCAUGCUCCAAUCCAUCCUAGUUCCAUAACAUAGCAUCAUCCCCCUACGACCCAUCCUAGCUCCAUCCCAAAUCUUCAAGUCUCCAGUUCCAUGAAUCCACUUCGGCCGCCCUCAAGUUCCAGGCGAGGCGGGGGUGCUCCUGCCGCCGUCACUGUCCGAUCUGCUUCGGUCACCGGUGCUCCCGCCGUUCCUGCUCAUGGAUCCACUUCGGCUGCCGUUAAUCCUGCCGCCAUGGCUGCAACUACAUCCCCACCAAACUCUGGACAAGUUCCUCUCUGAUGGGCUCCACCAAUGAAGGGACAUACCCAGCAAGUGGUUUUACCAAUUUCCUCCAGUCAAACUGUAGUCCAGAAAAUUUCCAUUUAGUUGGCAAUAUAACAAGCAGCAGUACAAUUUCUCCAACUGCUCCAAGUUUGAAAAGAACCUUGCCAAUUGAAAGCAAUAGAAAAGAGAAAAAAACAAUCGAUGUUGAUGCAGAUGAAACUAUCGAAGAUGGUAGGACUGAGAAGCGAUUGAACUGGAUGAAAGAAGAGGACAUUAGAUUGGCUUCUGCUUGGGUGCAUAACUCAAAGGACCCAGUUGAUGGAACUGAUAUUCCGUCAGAUCAGUACUGCGCGGAUGUUCAUGAAGAAUACAACAAAACCACAGAGGUUUGUCGUAGGAGAAAUAGGAACCAGCUCAAAAUCCAUUGGGAUCGUGUUAAAAAAACCCGUAACUGAGUUCCAUGGUUGUUGGGUACAAACCAACAAAGUGUACAGUAGUGGUGUGAGUGAUGACCAAUUGAAGGAAAUUGCUGAAAAGAUGUAUGCUUCUAGUAAUAAUGGUAAGGAUUUCAUGCUGAAGCACAUAUGGAAUGUUGUGCGAGGUGAAAGGAAGUGGUCUGCACAUGUGAAGAAAAUAGAACAGGAAAAAGAGAAGAAUAAGGGUGCAACUAAUAGCCCAGCUACAGUGGUGAAUUUGAAAGAUAAGCUUACUGUUCGUCCUAUUGGGCAUAAGAAGGCUAAGGACGAGCGCUAUGGAAAUAAGAAGACACCUGAAGCAUAUUCAGCUAUUAGUGAGAAGCUAGACAAAUUCAUUGAAGUAAGCACAUUGGCUAGGAAGGACCGUGAGAAGAUGUCAGAGACACAAGAAAAAUUGGCAAAUAGUAAGGUUGAAGCUGCUAGGUUGAAUGAGAAGACAGCAGAAAACCAACUUAAGUGUAAAAUGCUAGACACUUAUAGAGUUGUUGUUAGCACCGACAACUAAUCUGAAUGCUCAUGCUUUGGCUGAGAGGGAGAAAACACUCGAGGGUAUGAGGUUGGCCUUAUUUGCUCCAGAUAGUUAAGCAGGUUAUGAAGUAUAACUUGAAGUCCAGAAGUAUAAUAUUGCUUACUACCUAGCUGAUGGCAUAUAUCCAGAGUGGCCUGUUUUCGUGAAGUCUAUACAUGAACCACAGUCAGAUAAACAUAAACUUUUUGCAGAAAAGCAAGAAGGUGCAAGAAAGGAUAUCGAAUGCGCCUUUGGCAUUUUGCAGUCUCGCUUUUGUAUUUUUGCAUCGACCAGCACGUCUAUAUGAGCAAGGGGAUCUUGAAAAUAUUAUGCUUGCUUGUAUAAUCCUCCACAACAUGAUAAUUGAAGAUGAGAAGGACAUAGAGCAGGUUCCACUUGAUUUGAAUGAGGAAGCCACCACAUAUACUGUUCAAGAAGCUACAAUCUCUCAUGGAGAAAACCCAGAGAUGAAAGACAUACUUAGCAGAAAUGUCGCCUUACAUGAUCACCGAGCGCACAAACAACUUCAAUCCGAUUUGAUUGAUCAUAUCUGGCAAAGAUUUAGGAAUUCAAAUAGGCAAAAUAAUUAGAUGAUUCAAGAUGGAAAAACUGAUGGCUUUUGGAGUACAUGUGCAACCUACCUGACAUGAUAUGGACAUCAACUUCAUGCAUGAGAGAUGAUGGAUGAUGCCACCUUAUUAUUUUAUAUAUAAUGAACUAUUCUGUAUGAACUAUAUGUGCUACCUGUUAUCUUCAUCUCCAGAUUACUAUUAUCAGUUAAUGUGUGGUUCUGGAAUUGCUAUAUGGUAAUAUUUGGUUCUUGAAAGUGUGUUGGACCGAAAGAACUUUGUUGUUUCUUUGCCAGCUUGAUAGCGUGUGUUCUAUGCACAAAUUGAUUGCAGAAAUAGUUGCCACAAUUGAUCUGUCUUUUUUGUGCUGCAUUUAAUUUAUCUUUUGU